rnacentral:rRNA from 3 species
CAGGUAGGGAUACCCGCUGAACUUAAGCAUAUCAAUAA